AGAGAGAGAGCACCGCCUAAAACUCUCACCCUCAAUCCAUUAAUCUCUGCCUUCAUCCUCCUUGGCGUCGCUGGUGACUGUGAGAAUUUACUGUCGUUGUCUUCCUUAUCUCCAUCUUCUCCAACUUCUCCAGAAAUUGUCAAGACAGAGAGGUUUAACUGAUUCUUCAAUCUACCUCCGUUUUUUCCCCCGUCUUGUCGCCAUUUUCUUCUCCGUUCACAGAGAUCACCAGCGCCAGUAUCUGUAGCUAUUUAGUCCACCACUACUCUGUCAAGUUGGUGCCUUCUUCGUCUUCCCUUCACGCUUGCCGAGGACUUGCUGCUGUUAGGUUCCAAGUCCGUUGGUGUUAGACAUUUCUCUUCUUCUCCUUCUCUGCCCCUGUCGUUGCUGUUUGAGGUGUGAAGCUUUAAGCUCUUCUUCUUGAUAAUCCUGUGCGCAUGAGUGUCUGAUUUAUGAGUUUAAGUUGAUGUAUGAAAGAAAAGAACCUUGACAUGAUUUGAAGGAAUAAAUAUUUGAAAGCUUGGAAUUUGACAGGUAAGUGAAUAGCAUUCCAUUUAAUUUAUUUUAAUAGUAUUUUACUCAUACAUUUUACUCUUGUAAAUUAUAUUAGUUUUGGAAAUUAUAGAAUAUUGAUGUAGGACAAUUAAAUUAUGAUAUGUGCAUCUAUUUUUCCUCAAGAAAUAUAUUUCCAAGAAUGACGAAAUCAUUUUUGUUUAUUAAACUCUGGAAUUCUUGGUUACUCAAUUAAUGCAAGCCUGUACAUUAGCUAUGAAUUAUUAUUUUGGCAGAUUUUGAGAUUUGAAACAAUGCAUGCGAGUUUGGCAUUAAGAAUGGAAAUUUUAUUGCAAAAAUAAUUACUUUUCUCGCAUGUUUGAAAUGUGAUUUUCAAGAGGACUCUAAACAAAACACUGCUGCUAACGGCAGUUUCGUUAGCUCGUAGCGCGCUGUGGUUAAUAAUUAGCUAGUUUGUUUCGUAGGCUUUGUUCUCACGUUUGUUAUUUGUAGGUUUUGUACCCACGUUUGAUUUCGUGGCUUCAAGCCUCGUUUGGUUAGCAUCACUCUCGUGAACUGUGUGUCCACGUUUAUUUUGUGGCUUCGGCUGCGUUUGGUUACUUACCCUCGUGGAUUGUGUGUCCACGUUUGUUAUCUGUUCUGUUAAGUCCUCAAAAUUUUUAAAUUUUGAUAAACUCGUUCAUUUGAAAUUUCAAUGGUUUCAAUUAUCAAAUGUACUAUUUUGAUUUAUGUGUGAGUAAUUUAAUUUUUUUAAGUAUGAUAGAAUAAAAUGCUUCCAAAUUCACUUUCAUUUCAUGGUUAUGACUAUGAUUUAUAGAUUUUUAAAGUUAUUAUGUUGAAUUAUCAUCUUUUCAAUUAUUUUACAUGAUUAUUUGAGUUUAGUAUUUGAAUUCUUUUAAAUUCUAUUUUGAGGAUGCUAUUCACUGGAAAAUAUUUUGGUCUUAGAUUCAUUAGCUUAUGUUGAAUCUCCUACGAAUCAUUGAAGAGUUUAUCAUUGACUGGGAAGUGGAGGAAUUGUAGAUUAAGCUACCUUUUAAUGUAAAUUUUGAAUUGUAAAAUUGUAUUUUGUAAAUUAAAUUCUAAAAGCUCUACAUUGGCUAUAGCUAGGAUCCUUAUUUUGAUAUAUAUUCCGUUUGCUGGUUAGAAUGAGCCAAGCUCUUGGUUGUUA